ensembl:lncRNA
GGAGUGCCCACCUGACCUGGCUGUUGGGUCUCUCUCUCACGGGGUCUGGGAGCAGAGAGCUGCUGCGGGCCGGGAUCCGCGGGUGUGGGACUUCCGGUGGAGUCUAGAGACUAACGUAGGAAGAUCAUCUGGCUUGCAGAAGAAAAGAACUUAUGACAGAAGUAUAUUAUGAUUGUACCCUACGAGGACCAACAUCGGCUGACUGAGACAAAAGCAGACUCUUAACAAAGAAUCAUUGAACAAAAGUCACAGACCCCUGUGGUUGAAUUAGGGAAAGGUGGGAAGAAGCUAAGGAGGAGAGUGACCCUACAGAAAGAGCAGCAGUCUCAACAAACCCAGACCCCUGAGAUCUCUCAGACACUGAACCACCAAUCAGACAACAUAAAGGAGCUGGUCCGAGGUUCCAGACACAUGUACAAACAGAAGACUGCCUGGUCUGGCCACAGUGGGAGAAGAAGAGCCUAAACCUCUAGAGACUUGAGGCCCGGGUGACUAGAGGAAUGGUGGAAUGGUAGACCAGGAGGGGAGCAACUACUAGACUGUAAAACAAUAAAGACAAUCCCUAAAGGCGUUUUGGCUGUUAUGGAUUAAAAACAAUUUCCACCAUUUUCAUAGGGAAGCAGAUGUGUUUUGCCUGCAUAUAUGUAUGUGUGACAUCCUCAUGCCUGGUAUUUGCAUAAUCCAGAAGAAGACCCCAGAUCCCCUGGAACUGGAAUUAUAGACGGGAAUUGCAAAUUUCAAUGUAGAUAC